rnacentral:lncRNA from 1 species
AAAGUGCCAGAGGUGCCCAAGAAGCUCAUCCCAGAAGAAAAGAAACCAACACCUGUUCCGAAAAAAGUGGAAGCACCACCACCCAAAGUGCCAAAGAAACGUGAACCAGUUCCAGUUCCUGUAGCUCUACCUCAGGAAGAGGAAGUUCUAUUUGAAGAAGAAAUUGUUCCUGAAGAGGAAGUUCUACCUGAGGAAGAGGAAGUUCUACCUGAGGAAGAGGAAGUUCUACCUGAAGAAGAGGAAGUUCUACCUGAAGAAGAGGAAAUUCCACCUGAGGAAGAGGAAGUUCCUCCCGAAGAAGAAUAUGUACCUGAGGAAGAAGAAUUUGUACCUGAAGAAGAAGUCCUUCCAGAAGUUAAACCUAAGGUGCCAGUACCUGCACCAGUGCCUGAAGUGCCAAAGAAACCUGUACCAGAGAAGAAAGUCCCUGUUCCCGCCCCUAAAAAAGUGGAACCUCCACCACCACCCAAAGUGCCUGAAAUUAAGAAGAAAGUGACAGAGAAGAAAGUGGUCAUUCCCAAGAAAGAGGAGGCUCCCCCUGCCAAAGUGUCUGUGGUACCUAAGAAACCUGAGCCAGAAAAGAAGGUCCCUCCUCCUGGUCUUAAGAAAGCAGUGGCCCCUCCUGCCAAAGUUCCUGAGGUGCCUAAGAAGGUGGAAGAAAAACGAAUCAUUCUCCCUAAAGAAGAGGAAGUUCUACCAGUUGAAGUGACUGAGGAGCCUGAAGAAGAGCCUAUUUCAGAAGAAGAAAUCCCAGAAGAACCACCUAGCAUAGAGGAAGUUGAAGAGGUGGCACCACCUAGAGUGCCUGAAGUGAUUAAGAAAGCAGUACCUGAAGCACCUACUCCUGUUCCUAAAAAAGUGGAGGCACCACCAGCUAAAGUGUCAAAGAAAAUUCCUGAGGAAAAAGUACCUGUUCCUGUUCAGAAAAAAGAGGCACCCCCAGCCAAAGUGCCUGAAGU